UGUUCCCGCUCCCCUUCUGACGCCAGCCGCCCUUGCACGGUCCCAGGCGGGUCUCCCAGACCAUUCCCAGCACUAAAAAGGUGCAACUGGGAGAUGCUGCAGCUACCAGUGUCUCCUGACACACCACAGCCACAUCUACGCAAAAAAACCCUACCAAAAAACCCCAAACACAAACCUCACACCGCAAAAACCCUAAAGCGCUGAGAUCCAGUAUAUAAACACACAGAAAACUUGUCAAGGAGAGCAGUUGCAGCCCCUGGGAAGGGGUCUGGGCUCGCCGUGUAACUCCACACACAGACUGAGCCUGCAAAGGGAGCUGCACAUUCAUCCCCCUCCGGCUCUAGGAAAGGGGCGGCAACAGGAUGACCCCGGGGGUGGAGGGGGCUGCCCCCAAAUCCCCUCGCCCCGUUCCCCCUCUUUCCCCCAUCUCCCAGCCCAGCCGAGCAGAGGGAUCCUGUACACAACUUUUUCAAACUGCCAGGCAGAAGAAUCCCAGCCUUUCCAAGGGAGUGUCGGUAAAUCAUCAGUACAUCCGACAACGCAGCCAGCGGGAUUAACCCUUUGCGGGUUCCCGGGAAAAUAACAACAACAACAACAAAACCACCGCCAACAACGCGUUUAACAAUGAAAACAGUAAAAUUCGGCCCCAGCUGUGGGAGAAGGGGGACGGGCAGGGUGUGUGCCGGGAUCUUUUCAUACACGGAUGGAGAGGGAACAGCGUUUUGUGUGAGCACACGAAGAGCUGCCACCGCGCACCUCCGGCGUGCCUCAGCCCCCCGGGCUCUCCCACCUCCCACAGCACCGCGCCAGACCCAGAUGUGCCUCCCACCCCCCCAAGGAUCUCUCCUCUGGACUUAGAGAGAAGAGGAAAAGGCAGAUUUUGAGAAAUGAAAAUUAUUUAAGGAUGUCCUUACUGCCUCUCUCUGCUGCCCUCCUCUGUAAUAGCGAAGCAUUUACAAGAUAUUAUACAAAA